rnacentral:rRNA from 1 species
CGCAAGAUUAAAACUCAAAUGAAUUGACGGGGGCCCGCACAAGCGGUGGAGCAUGUGGUUUAAUUCGAUGCAACGCGAAGAACCUUACCUACUCUUGACAUCCUCAGAAGCUUGUAGAGAUACGAGUGUGCCUUCGGGAACUGAGAGACAGGUGCUGCAUGGCUGUCGUCAGCUCGUGUUGUGAAAUGUUGGGUUAAGUCCCGCAACGAGCGCAACCCUUAUCCUUGUUUGCCAGCACUUCGGGUGGGAACUCCAGGGAGACUGCCGGUGAUAAACCGGAGGAAGGUGGGGACGACGUCAAGUCAUCAUGGCCCUUACGAGUAGGGCUACACACGUGCUACAAUGGCGCAUACAGAGGGCGGCCAACUUGCGAGAGUGAGCGAAUCCCAAAAAGUGCGUCGUAGUCCGGAUUGGAGUCUGCAACUCGACUCCAUGAAGUCGGAAUCGCUAGUAAUCGUGGAUCAGAAUGCCACGGUGAAUACGUUCCCGGGCCUUGUACACACCGCCCGUCACACCAUGGGAGUGGGCUGCAAAAGAAGUGGGUAGUUUAACCUUCGGGGGGACGCUCAC